GUCCUGCUAGCGCCAUCUCCUUCCCUGUCCCUGCUUGGGCAGGAGGCCCAAGCCCUGACAACAGAGGUGAGAGAGGCUGUGCCAGCCCUGCUCUGGGCAUGUCUGGGCCUAAGGGCCAGGCUCUGCCUCCAGUCUAGGGCCAAGCUGGGGCCUGUAGCAGGAUCAGAUAGAGGCAAAGCAUUGAUGAGGCAGGGGGAUGGACAAAAUGGGCCUCCCAGCCACACCACAGCCACAGAGCCCUCCGCUCACAAACCAUCCCGGCCUCGUCAGAACCUGGGAAGGGUUCCUAGUUGUGCAGGCAGGUAGAAGCAGCAACACAGCAGGAGUCUCCGCAGCCUGUGGCUGGGCAGGCUGUACCCUGAGUGGCCUCUUCCCAACCGCACCUCACCCUAUACUCCAGGGUCACAAGCUUGAAUCUUGCUCUUAUCGCCAAGGCUGGAGUGCGAUGGCGCAAUCUUAGCUCACUGCAACCUCCGCCUCCCAGGUUCAAGUGAUUCUCCUGCCUCGGCCUCCUGAGUAGCUGGAUUACAGGGAUUCACCGUACGUACCCCUUUCCCUCCGGCACUGGAGCCCAAGUCUCCCGCUGAGCAGGCCCCUCUCCCUCCACGCCCAGGCUUCUUAAACCAACCCCUCCUCCCCUUGUCAUUCAUGAACCAGAUGCAGAAACUGAGGCUCAGAAGCGUUCGGCCACGUGCAUGCAUUGCCUUUCCCAUUGGUGCUCCAUCGCCAGUAAUAAGCCUGCUACAGUGAAGGUUCUUUUGGAGGCCAGUGACAGAAGCCAACUCAGCCAAAAGUGGAAUCCAAAGCCGGGCGCGGUGGCUCACGCUUGUAAUCCUAGCACUUUGGGAGGCCGAGGCGGGCGUAUUACCUGAGCUCAAGAGUUCAAGACCAGCCUGAGCAACACGGCGAAAACCUGUCUCUACUAAAAUACAAAUAAUAAGCCAGGCGUCGCGGCGUGCGCCUGUAGUCCCAGCUGCCUCACCUGUAGUCCCAGCUACUUGGGAGGCUGAGGUAGAAGUGCUUGAACCCGGGAGGCGGAGCUUGCAGUGAGCCGACAUUGCGCCACUGCACUCCAGCCUGGGCGACAGAGCGAGACUCCACCUCCAAAAAAAAAAGUGGAAUCCAGUGGGAGGGUGCCAGAGUGUGUCACAGUACAAAGGGAAAUUGAAGAGCCAAGACCCAGGAACGGCAGGGACCAGGGCAGUCCUGUGGAUGCUAACAGCGGGGGUUCAUGGCCUCUGUCUGUGGAGCACAGCCAGACAGUACCAGAGACUCCUCUCUGCUCCAAUUUCCUGGCGGACAGAAUCUAAUUGGCUCAGCCGUGUCAGGUGCCCACCCCUGGUCCAAUCAGCAAUGGCGGGGAAGGGGUGGACUCCCAGCCAUGAUGGCGUAGGGGUGGGGCAGGUCCUAGGGCAGUUAAUACAGCUGAGGGCCGAGAAACUCAGUAGGAGGAUAGCUACUCAAGGAAGAGGUUUGUUCUGUGCAGAAAAAAAGGAUCUGAGAUAUUGGCGAGGUCCAAGAGCCCAUGGCACCCCCCUCCCUUUUCUAGGAUCUUCUUGAGAUUCUGAGAACCACUCACUAAUUUAAGAAACUUGGCUUUCGGCCGGCCGUAGUGGCUCACGCCUGUAAUCCCAGCACUUUGGGAGGCCGAGGUGGGCGGAUCACCUGAGGUCAGGAGUUCGAGAUCAGUCUGGCCAACAUGGUGAAACUCCGUCUCCACUAAAAAUACAAAAUUAGCCGGGUGUGGUGGCGCAUGCCUGUAGUCCCAGCUACUCGGGAGGCUGAGGCAAGAGAAUCGCUUGAACCUGGGAAGCAGAGGUUGCGGUGAGCCGAGACCACGCCAUGCCUGGGCAACAAGAGCGAAACUCUGUCUCAAAAAACAAAAAGAAGAAAAAAAAAGAACCUUUCCUCUCACCUAUUCUUCCACUGUGAAUAUCCUUCCCUGAUUCUGGCACCCACUUAUGGACUUCAAAGUCACUUAAAAUGUGGUUCAAAGACCACUUGUUUUAGAAUCACCUGGGAAGUAUGUUAAAAAUACAGCUUCCAGGCCCGGUGCCAUGACUCACGCCUGCAAUCCCAGCACUUUGGGAGGCCAAGGCAGGUGGAUCGCUCGAGCUCAGAAGUUCGAGACCAGCCUGGGCAACAUGGCAAAACCCCAUCACUACAAAAAAUACGAAAAAAUUAGCCAGGCAUGGUGGCAAGCACCUGUGAUCCCAGCUAAUUGCAGGGCUGAGGCAAGAGGAUCACCUGAGCCCAGGAGGUCGAGGCUGCAUGGUGACGCAUGCCUGUAAUCUGUAAUCCCAGCUAUUUGGGAGGCUGAGGCAAGAGAAUCGCUUGAGCCCAGGAAGCAGAGGUUGCAGUGAGCCGAGAUCACGCCACUGCACUCCAGCCUGGGCGACAGAGCCAGACUCCGUCUCAAAACAAACAAAAAAACAGGUUCUGGACAUUGGGCCUAGGAAUCUAUAUUUGAACCUGCUCUAUAAGCGAUCCAGGUGCACAGCAAAGGUUGAGAAGUGUUUCAGAUGUAGCUUCAUCCCAGCUCUCAAACUGCCACAGAUUGCAUAAAGUGCUGGUGCUCACGGAAGGCCCCAUCCUUGCCCUCCAUCCUUUCCACCAUGCCCUGACCAUCUCCUUGAUCUUGUCCCAGCACUGUCUAUCAAGACCUCAAGUCCCUCUCCUAGCAGGAGCCUGGGACCCUGUGAUAGGCAAUUUUUGCUCUAACCCUACUCCUGAUACCAUCUUUUCUCUUUUUUUUUUUCCUCUCCUUUCUUUUUCUUUCUGUUCUGAUUCUCACCAACGUUCAUUUUUAAUUUUAUCAUUUAAAAAUAUUUUAUAGUUAUGUAAACAACCUCAAACUUUUUUCCAGAGCUAGGUGAUGAAUAACCAAAUAGGGGAAGGAAUUUCAAUUGCCCCUAAUCCUAUAUUAGUCCCUGUGCAGAUGGGCCUAAUGAGUACUGCACCAGGAUUUCUAAUUAACCUUAAUGAGCUUCUAAAAUUCAUGGGGCAUGAUAGAAUGAGGUUGAUUGUUAAUCAAAUGGCCCAAUGAAUCAAGCCUCCUGGUAUCUACGCCCUUGGAUAGGCCCCUCCCAUGGUGACUCUGGGAUUGGCCACGCGACUUGCUUUGGCUAGUGGGACAUCAGUGACUAUGACACAGAGGCCAGAUAAGUGCUUGUGAUUUGGGGCUUACUCUGUUAGCACUGUCCUGGAACUACCAUGUGAGGAAACCUAGGCUACAUGGUCAUCCUUGAGGAUGAAGGAUCUCAUGAAGAGUGAGGCUUAACCAUCCCCACAGUCCCAGCUGAACCUAGCCCACAGCCAUUCUUCCAGCUGAACGUAGCUGCACAAGUAAGCCCUGGAAAAAUCAGCAGAAGAAUGCAGCCAACCCAUAUUUUCAUGAGAAAUAAAAAAAAAUUACUGUUUUAAGCCUAAGUCUUGGGUGGUUUGUUAUGCAGCAACAGCAAACUGAUACAAUGGGUCACAGUAACACUCACAGGACAGUAUUUCUGUGCUAUUUCCACUUGAUAUUCUGGAGCUUCAUGUAGAUCUG